UACGUAGGUGACAAGCGUUGUCCGGAUUUACUGGGCGUAAAGAGCGCGCAGGCGGUCGUUCAAGUCGAGUGUGAAAGCCCCCGGCUCAACUGGGGAGGGUCACGCGAUACUGUUCGACUUGAAGGCAGGAGAGGGAAGUGGAAUUCCCGGUGUAGUGGUGAAAUGCGUAGAUAUCGGGAGGAACACCAGUGGCGAAGGCGACUUCCUGGCCUGUUCUUGACGCUGAGGCGCGAAAGCGUGGGGAGCGAACAGG
rnacentral:rRNA from 1 species